AUUAUAAUACAAAUUUGUAUAGUCUUGAUACUUUGUGUGAAAAUUUUAUUUUAUUUUAUUUAAAUAUAAAAUUAUUUAAAUAUUAUUUUUUAUUAGUUUAAAUUUUUAGAAUAAAAUGGUUGUUUCGUAUUAUUUUGAUAUGGUAUUAGAAUUGAAGAUUCUGAAUUCAAGUUAUUAAUUUAAGUCCACAUCAUGAGCCUAAUGAAAAGUUUCGAGUUUAGACGUGAGGGAAAGUGUUAAAUAUAAAAAAAUUUAAACAUCGUUCUUUACUAGUUUAAGUUUUUAGAGUGCAACAGUAGUUUCAUUUCAUUUAACAGUUGUUUUGGUUUUAAAGGUGCCUACAAGCUUCCCAUAAUAUAGUUUUGGAUAUAUAUUUGUGUAUAUUCACUCUGAAUAUAGUUUUAUGAGUAAUACUUCAAUACACCAUAUAAAUUUUGACCAUUUAUUUUUCUUAAUAGGUGGUUUAGAUUUAAUAUAAAUCUAGAGGUGACCUACUAUUGAAGCAUUGGUAUCAUUCACCAGGCACCUAUUUAAAGGGUAUUUUGGUCUUUGUAAAAUAUUAUGGUCUACAAAACCAGUUUUAUCCAACUAAGAAUACUGUGAUCUUUUCAAAAGCCUAUGGUAGUUGGAUUUCAAAUUACAACCAAAUUGUAAAUUUAAAUUCAAAACAACAUUUAAAACUUAAUUAUAAAUCAAAUUCAAUUUUUUUAAAUAUAAAACACAAAUUUAAAAUAAAGCUUUCAGUUCCAAUUUAAAAUUUCAAUUUAAAUCAAAAAUUAAAUUUUGGCUUUAAGAUUAAAAAUUCAAUUUAGAUUCAAAUUUAAAAGUUUAAUAUAAAUUUCAAGAUUAAAAUUUUAUAUUACAAUACCAACUUCAAAAAUUAAAUUUAGAUUUAAUAUUUUUUGAGCCGGAUACUUAACAAAUUGGGUAUUAUCUAAUUUGGUAAGUUACCAAAGUAAAUAAAAUAUUUAAUAUUUAUAGGAUGGUGACAAAUUUGGUAUAUACUACUAUUUUUUUUUUCCAAUAUUGUUAUAUUAACUAAUUCAAAUCGGUAACCUGCUCAACAGGUUAUGUCAUGUAAAAUCCAAUUAUACUCUUUACUAAUUAAAGAAUUAGAUUUUAAUAUUUAUGGUGUAUUGAAGCAUUCCUCUAGUUUUAUUAAUCAAUGUGGAUUUUUUUUUUUAUGCUAUUUGUUGCUUGUAAUAUCACAUAUGAUUGUCGACACAUUAAUAGUCUUUAAAAAUAUGUAUAUAGGAGCAGUAAUUUUAUGAAUCUAAACCUACAAGUUAUUGAAACUGGAUGAACGAAUUAGAACGCAACCUAGACAAUGACGUACACAAUUUGAUUAGAAAAAUCUUAAUUAAGAAAGAAGGAAACAAGGGGAAUAAGAUAAUUAAUUACAAGAUGACGUCACAUGAUAUCAAUUAAUUCUUCAACAAGGCCCAAGUAUAAUUUGCCCAAUGGCCUUGAUGCAGGAAACUUACCCUAAUUGGAUUAAAGUUUUUUAGACAAAAAUAUAUCUUCAUUGCUUAGGUUAAAUCACAUGAUUUAGAACUUGCCGAAAGAGUGAAGUUAAUUUUUGUCUAUUAUUAUAGAUAAUUGUUAAUUACGAGACUGUUUGGUUCACUCAUUUUACUUGGUUUCGUAUAGCUACAACUGCUACAGUUAUGUAUAUUUAUUCUCUUUGGUAGUUUGAAAAUGUCUCUAAUUUCUCACCAGUUGGGUGAUUCGUUUUUUUCCCAACUAUUGAUAUAUGGGUGGAGUUGGAGUUAAUUUGAGUAUAAUUCCAAUUAUAUAGUAGUUAGACUCAAAUAUACUAAGCCUGGACACCUAUUUAAAUUUAUGUACAAUUAAAACUAUAAAUAAGUAGUUGUGUGCAGUCAAAUAGCCUCUAUACUGAACAUACAUUAUAGACGGUCACGAUAAUGUAUGAAAAUGUACCUCUCAAAAGAAGAGAUAAAAAAAAAAAAAAACUUUUUAUACACUCAAGAAAAAGGGUGUAGAUCUUACCCCUCACAAUUUAGGGCUGACAGAAUCCAAAUAAUUUUUAAUAAAAAAAAAUGAUGUGAUAAGUAAAGUAUUAAUGACCUUGGAAUAGAGUGGGAGUAAAAUAUACACCUAACUAUGGGGUGUACUGGUAUCAUUGCUCACAAGAAAAUAGCCUCAUAAUUGGUAGCAAAGAUUAUAGCUGCAGUAUAUAUAAUUUUUCUUACAAUAUUUCUCCAAUUUGGAAUUAAAAAGAAAAACUCGUUAGCAAAGUGUAAAUUUCCAGUCAAAUUGGAAAAAAAAGAAGAAGAAAAUUCCAAUUCAAAAUGAAUUGAGCUUUGAAGAGGUUAAUGGCAACAAAAUUUAUUGUGCAUCUCAUAAAAAAGCAGAGAGGGCUGAAAUUACUUUUAAGCUGUAAUUAAAUGCUUAAUUUCAUUGCUUUUGUAAACAAUAUUUGCCCGCAACUCUACUUUUUCAAAAAAUGCGGUUAUUAAUUUUGUCCUGAGUGAUUAUGAAGUCACUUACAAGAUAGAUAGAGAUGAAAAAAAUAAUCAAAAAAACAUAUCUGCUGUAACUUUUUUUUUUUUUUUCCCUUUUAUAUACUAGUGUGAAAUUUUUUUCAAAAAAUAAAUAAAAAAGGGGAUAAUUGUAUUUCUAAAGCCAUUGACUUUUAUCAUGGAACGGUGGUAGAAAAAAUAUUAUUCUUUUGAAUUUCAGGACCAGUAAAAAUCAUUUUUAACGUGAGAAUCGAUUACUUAUCAGCAAACAAACAGGCCCUUCAAGUUGGAAUAUCAUGCAUGGCACAUUUCCACGACUUUGAGUAAUUGCAAGAGCUCAAUAUUUUUGUUCCACCCACUGGCUAUAAGGUGAUGCCUUGGUAUUGAAUACAUUUUCUUUCAAUACUUUAGCACACUUUCUUAAAAAAAUAUAUAUAAUAAAAUAAGAAUAAAAAAACCAUAUCAAGAGUAGUCCUUCAUAUUUGGUACAAGUGAGAAAUUUUUGGCAGCAUAUAGAAAAGAGAAUUCUGAUUUUAUUUAGCAAAAUUGAUUAAUUUUCAGAUCAUUACAUUUUAGCCAUCAGUUGCGCUUAUUUUUGACAUCUUUUUCUUAAGUCUUGCAAACCAUACUCUAGAGGUUACAUAGAGAGUAUCAUACAAACUGUCUACAUAUUGGAACCACCAAAUCCUAAAUCUUUUAUUAACCAACAGGGCUCCAGUAAUAGGCCAAAAUCCAACUGCAAAUCCUGCUAUUGUAAUAAGGCAAAGGAGUAAGAUCUCUUUUCGAUUUUCAUCUGCCUUUUUUGAAACAUCAGAUCCUGCACGACCAUUAACAGUCGGUGGAGUACGACUUAACUGGCCAAUUGUCGGGCCUUCGGCUUGGCCUUCAUUACCUGGGCAACUCACAUUUAUUUGGAAUCCGCAGAGAUAUUGGUUUCCGACAUAUAUGUUAGGGUCGGUGAAUGUGUCCAUCGGAAUUCUUCCUGAGAAGUUGUUGUACGAUAUGUUCCAGAUUUCCAAGAAGCUUAAGUCGGACAAGCUAGAAGGAAUUGCUCCUGAUAACUUGUUUCUCGACAAGUCCAGAUAUAAUAGUUGCGUCAGAUCGCCGAUCUUGAAAGGUAUUUGUCCUGUUAGAUCAUUACUCGACAAGUUGAAUAUCAACAAUCCCAGAAGAUUUGUUAGUUCAUCGGGUAUGCGUCCCGACAAGCUAUUCCUAGAGAGAUCCAAGAUCGUCAUCUGCAAAAGAAGAUCACUACCAUAUUGAUCUUCUCUUCCUUUGAUGUCCAAUAUCAUAUUCUCAUCAUGAAUACCAAUUGUGCUGUUUAGGAUAGGUCCAAUGUUUGUAUGAGGGUUCCUCAUAGCCAUGAAGUUGCCGAAGGUCAUCGGUAUCGGCCCUGAAAGAUUGUUGUUUGAGAGGUCUAAGAUUCGGAGAGCAGUAAGAUUAGAGAGUUCUGUUGGAAUUCGGCCGACAAACUUGUUUGAUUUCAAGCUAAGAAUCUUGAGAGACGAGAGCUCUCCAAGCCAGAUUGGUAUCCUUCCUGUAAACAUGUUACCGCCAAGAUCAAGAGUAUCCAGCAUCUUGCAGGUCUUUAAGGAUGAGGGAAGCUCUCCAGAUAAACUGUUUUUCCUUAGGUGCAAUGAUCGAAACUGAGGCGAUUCACAAAGCCAUUCGGGUAUUCCUCCAGAAAGAUUAUUAUUUGAAAGAUCCAAAACUUCUAAUUGAGUAUUAUUUUGACAGUUUGGGAGCUCUCCUGAUAAAUUAUUGUUUGAGAUUGAUCUGGUAAUCAAUUGUGAACUACAAAUAGACAUGGGGAUCCUGCCAUUUAUUCUAUUCCUCGACAACAAAAGCGCACUUAAAUUAGGCAUUAGCUGGAAAAUAUCAUCAGGAAUAGGGCCCAUAAAUGAAUUGCUUGACAAAUCUAGUUGUGCCGUGUUUGACGGAAAACGUGGCACUGGUCCCUCAAAGAAGUUGGAACUUAAAUCAAUAAAUAAAUCUGUAUCAGCCCUGAAUUUUAUUAAGUUGGGUAUCACACCAUGUAGCUCAUUAUUAGCGAGAUAAACAGUAGAAAGAUUGGUCAUUGAGUUCCAAAACCAAUUUGGCACUGAAUCUGAAAUCCCCGUGGAAGAUAGAUCGAGGCUGGCUAGAGACUUCUGAGUAUGAAGCCAUGAGGGAAACUGGGGGCCUAGUUUACAGCCACGGAAGACCAAAUCACUGAGUUGGAAAGGAGGAACCCAAUUGUUGCUCAGAUUCAAAACCAACGAGUUAGAAGUCAGGUCGAUGAUCUCCAACUUUGUAAGAUUAGAAAAAUGAUAUUCUGAAAUAACUCCGAUGAGAGCGUUGGAGCUAAGAUCCAAAGAUUUUACCUCACUAAGGUUUCCAAGACAUUCCGGAACAGUGCCAUUUAGCUUAUUGUUAUAAAAAGCGAACACCUGUAAGGUGGAUAGUUUACAAAAAGAGGUGGGGAUUGAACCGGAAAGUGAGUUCAAUGAAAGAUCAAGAAUAUUUAGAUUGUUCAGGUCACUGAUCCAAUCCGGCAUGUUGCCACUUAGAGAUGUGCUACUUAAGUACAACUCUCGCAAGCUAUUUUGGAGACAUCCAGAAAAAGACUCUUUGAGUGCAUCUAACCGGGAAUUAAUUGUGGAACCUGAAAAAUCUAGUGUGCGAAGCUCACAGAGAUUGCCCAAACUAGACGGCACCCCGGCAUCGAAGUCAACAUUGCCCAGUUCAAGCACCUUUAGAGAAGCCAAGUUUCCAAUUGCAGAUGGAAUGAGCUCUGCAAAUCCACUUGAAGUGAGAUAAAGAUAUUGAAGGGAAGUAAUUCUAAACAACCAGUCGGGUAAGCUAGAAUUUACUUCGCUGUUAUUAGGAUAAUCAUCAAGUGACGUGUAAGAAAGAUCCAAAAGGGAAAGAGAGGUAAAAUUGACAUGCGGGAGAGAUUGUGGAAAGUUAACAAGUUGGCACUGCUGCAAACGAAUGUCUUGUACUAAAGGAAGCAUGUUCAAUGCUUGUAGGCAAUUAGACGUAUUCUCAAUCGAAGAAUAGCUCAUAUCAAUAUGAAGUAGAGAGGUGAGUCGAGAAAGCCAAUUAGCGUUACUCAAUGUAAGUGGAUUACCAGAAAGAUCCAGAAUUUGAAGUCUUGAGAGAUUUCCGAGCUGAUCGGGUACCGUCCCAAAAAAAUACGACUGAGAUAUGUUAAGAUAGUUUAACUUCUCGAACGAACCGAUCCACUGGGGAAUCGAUAUGCCUGCAAAGUAAUUGCUGCUGAGAUCCAAAUAGCUCAGUUGCUUAAGACGGAGCAAAGAAGGAUUGAUUUUGUUGCCGACAAGUUCUCUCCCUUGAAGAUCUAAAUGCACGAUGUGUCCGGUUCGGUUGUCGCACUCCACGCCUUCCCAUUUGCAGCAAUUUUUUCCCUCCCAAGAAAAGAAGACAGCUGCAGUUCGGUUGAAACCUCCGGCAAACCUCAGAAGUGCUUCCCUCUCGGCAUCUGGGCAACUCAUAUUAGAAGAUUUGAAUGCCACAGCAUAUGCAAACGAGAGGAACAACAGCAAAGCUCUUUUUAUUGCUUUGUAAUAAUCCAUUCUCAGAAUUUCUUCUUCUUCUUCUUCUUUUUUUUCUUUUUUUUUUUUUUUUUUUUUUUGUUUUCCCCGAUUUUUUUUUCUUUUUUUUUAGCAGUGCCUCACGUUGGAUUUAUAGUUACCAAAGCUUAUAGGCUAAAAAGUCAGUCAACACGAAGUUGCACCGAAAUGCCACCAUAAAAUGCUUCCCACUUUGUUGACGAGGGUGUUUAAUUUUCCAAGAUGACUUAGACUUCACCAUUAUGGAAAAGCCGAAAGCUAAUUUAAUAAAGAGACAAUCUAUAAUAUCUAUAAUCUAUAAUAACAUACAUGAAUUCUCAGUUUUGGAACAGGUGGCGAGCGUGGAGGCGUGGGCAGGGGCGAGCGCGGGGCGCGGGCAGGCGGGCGCGCGUGGCGGGGCGCCUCGUGGCGCGGGCACGCGGGGCGCGGGCAGGAAGCGCGAGCCGGCGCAAGGCGCGGCGGGACAGGUGGCGGCGAGCGAAGCGCGGCAGGGGCGAGCGUGGGGCGCGGGCCGGCGGGCGUGCGUGGCGGGGCCGCCGCGUGGCGCGGGCGAGCGGGCUGCGCGGCAGGCGGCACGUGGGCGGGCCACGUGCGCGGGGGAGAGGAGAGGGAGAGGAGAGGAGAGGCGGGCGCACGUGGGCGCGGGCGCGCGGGGCGCGCGCAGGCGGGCGAGCUCGCGGGCCGCCGCGUGCGCGGGCGAGAGGACGGGGAGAGGAGAGGAGAGGAGCGAGAGGAGAGGCGGGCCCAGCUAGGAGAGCAGAGAAGGUAGAGAGAAGGGAUUUUUUUUUUUUUUUUUUUGUCUCUUUUUGUCUCUUUCUACUUUUUCUUUUUUAUUUUUAUUUUAUAAUAUUGUUCUCUUAAUAUAUGAUUAAAAAAUUUAUAAAUUUUUUAAUUCAAUUAAAAUUUUAUUUAUUUUUAUAAAAAUUUAAAAUAUAUAAAUAAUUUUAAAUAAGUUAAUUAUUUGUAUUCAAUAUAAAUUUUAAUUAAGAUGAAUUAAAGAAUUAUUAAAAAUAGAUAAAAAAUAAGGAAGGAUUUAAAAAUGAAACAUUAAAAAAGUAAAAAAAAUAAAAAUAAAAGAAUAAGAUAGAUAGAAGAAAGAAUAGAGAGCAAAAUGUAAGAACAAUAAAUUAAUUUUUCUAAAAAUUAUAUAUAAUUAUAAUAAUAAUUAUAAUAUAUAUAAUUAUAAAUAUAAUUAUAUAUAAUUUCUUAUUAGUAUGAUUUUUAUCUUUAUUUUUUUAAUCUUUCUUAUAAUUUAUUUUUAUAAUUUUAUUACAGCAAUAGUUGUUUAUUUUUUAGUUAUUUUUUUAUAUAAUUUUUUGACUCCUUAUUUUUAUUAUUAUUUAUUUUAUUUAUAUAUUUAUUUCUGCAAAAUCAUCCCGCCGCAACGCGCGGGUCCUUCACUAGUUAUCAAUAUAUCCCUCUCAAAUUCUCACCUGUUAUAUAUUGCGCUGAAAAACAUCUGUUCCUAAAUAUAUCUUCCAAAAUUUUUAAAUAAAAAUUAAAAGAAAAUCAAAUCCUUGGAUUCGGUUGGGUCUGAAUAAUUAAUAUACUAUAUACCAAUAUUCUAAAAGGAAAUAUGUAAAAAAAACAUACCCUGUCAUUUAACAUCCGGGCGGCACUCGAUCUACAUAUUUAAGUUAUUAAUGCACUUAUUGGGUCUAUUUGAACGAAUUUGAAUAGUGGCUGCCCACAUAAGCUCGAGUAUGGAUAAGGAUGUCCAGUACGGAUAUCCGAAAUUUUAUCCGAAACCAAAUCUGAAAAGAACGAAUUUAUUCAAUUCUAAACGGAAAUAGUUUUGGAUAUGAAUAUAAGAAACAAAAACUCAAAUAAUUUGGAUUCAGAUAUGAAUUUAUUUAUAUAUUUUUUGAAUUAUACUUUAAAAAUUUAGAUUUAAUGUUAUAUAUUUUAAAAUAUUGUAAAUAGAAAUAAUUGUUUCGGGUUCGGGUUUGGGCUCUGGUUUCGAAGAAGUUUAGGUAGGGCUGGCAAACGAGCGAGCCGGCUCGCGUUCGACUCGUGUUCGGCUCGAUAUUUGGCUUGCUCGAGCUCGACUCGAAAUUAAAUGAGCCGAGUUUGAACAAAAUAAAAGGCUCGAAAUUCAUUUCAAGCCGAGCUUGAGUAUUACUCGGCUCGUUCGAAUUAGGCUCGAAAAGCUCGAAAAGCUCGAAAAGCUCGAAAAUAUAUAUAUAUAUAUAUAUAGGCCGGGGCUACUAUACUCUUAUGAGUAUAGACCCCCUUGUACUCAUAAAUUUUUAACCGUUGAUUGAUGGGAUGUGUGGUUAGGAUGAUGGUGGUCCCACUUAAAAUGAUAGUGGUCCCCUAGAGUUGAGUGGGUAGUUGGUUGAAUAGUAUGAUCUAACGGAUGGAAAUGAUCAGUGAAAUAAAUCUAAGGGCCGAAAACUUAUGAGUAUAAAAGAGCCAAUACUCAUAAAAGUACAGUAGCCGGACUCUAUAGAUAUUUAUAUAUAUAUAUAUAAUGUAUUUUAAUUAUAUAUAGGCUUUAAUUUAAUUUGGGCCAUUAUUGUUGGCCCAUAAAAUAAACCCAACAAGUACAACCGUGCAAUUGAGCCCAACUCUAAAUUUACAUAACACACUCUCUCUUUCAGACUUUCACUGUUGCACAUAACCCUAAAAUAUGAUAAUAUUCAAAUUUCCAAAUCCCUAAUUUUUUUUCCUCUCUCUCUCUCUCUCUCUCUCUCUGACCCUCACCCAGUCAGGCAGUCACCCUAGCUCACAUUUCUUACAAUUAUUUUGUAUUUUGAACUAUUGAACAUAUUGUAUCAAAUUAUAGGUAAUGUUCUAUAAAAAUUAAACUAUUGAUUAUAUUAUGUCGAGAAUUUCAAUCGGCUCGUUUAGAGCUCGAGCUCGGCUCGACUCGAAAUUAGGCUCGCUCGAGUUCGGCUCGAAUUAAUUUCAAGCCGAGCUUGAGCCUAGAUUUAAGCUCGAAAUUAAUUUCAAGCCGAAUUUGAGAUGACAUAAGCUCGCUCGAGCUCGGCUCGUUUCCACCCCUAAGUUUAGGUCGGGGUCGUGUUUGGAUAUAGAUUUUUAAAAUCCAUCGGAUUGGGUUUAGAUUCGGGUUUCGGGUUUGGUAGUCGGGUUUGGAUUCAGUUUUUUGAAAAUUUGCUCUAAAUCCAACCCGUUGACAUCUCUAGGUACAGAUCGGACAAGGAUCGAGUCUAGAUCGAGUACAGAAACCUCUAUAUGUAUAUAUUGUAUAAAGCACAAAUAUUUAUUCUAUGGUAAGUGUAAAAUAAAAAUAUAAAUUUAUAAUAGAUACACCAUAAGUUCAAAACACAUGCAUGUAUUUUUUUGAGAAAAAGGUAGCACGCUACCUGCUUCAUUCAUUUAGAGGAUGAAUUAGGCUUACAUAAUGGAGGCAACCGGGGCCUCCGACGGGAGAAAGAGCGUCAAAAGCCAGAAAAACAAAGACAAGAAACGAAAACGACAAGAGACUAAAACCAAAAAAAAGAAGGAAAUGAGGGUAAGGGAAGCGAAAGCGACAAAUAACUAAAACCAAAAGAGGAAGAAAGAAAGUGUAAAAGCGACAGGCGUCAAACAGCAGGGAUCCAGCAGGGUCAACAAGGAGCGAUCCAGGUGUCAAGCAGCAGUUUUGCCCGUUCCAGGCACCGAGUAGGGUUGGGGGCAAUCUCUCGAAAGAUUAAACUAUUCCUUUUCGUCCAAACGACUCACCAAAUGGCAGAAAGGAGGGAGGGGGAAAUAAGUCUCUCUUUGGCGUCUCUUAGAUCAAUAAGUUUAGACCAGAGGUCUCUCACAUCGUCCGAGGGAUCAGUCAGAGCCUCCAAGCCGCCUACGCUCAGCAAAAUAAAGCGAACAAAGACACAGGAGCUUAUGAGGUGGUCGCAACUUUCCAAAUUAACGGCACAGAAAAAACAUGUUUGAUCCGCUAGCCACCCUUGCUUAUGGAGCCUGUCUGCAGUGGGGAUCCUCUUACGAAGUAGUAGCCAUAGGAAUACUUUGAUCUUGCCAGGGAUAUUCAAUUUCCAGAUAUGUUGACUUAGGGGGUCCACCAUGCCUGAGUCCGUGAGAAAGUGAUAAAGGGAUCUGACUGAAAACUUUUGGUUGGAGGUCCAACGCCAUUUGAUUAGGUCCGGAAGCUGAGUUGGCCGGAUGGGCCGAAGCAAGUCCAUAAGCAGGCCCUUUUGUCUAUGAUAGUUCACAGGUAGAGGCCCUGCUGGACCGCGGCAGAUAUAUUGCCACCGCCAGCCAUUAGGGCCCCAGCACUGAGCAAUAGUUGUCUCCUUGUUUCGGGUAUGACCGUAGAUGUCGGGGAAGAGAGUACGAAGGGGAGCCUCGCCGUACCAAAUUGAUGACCAAAUCUUAAUAUCUUUGCCGUUUCCGAGGUUGUAGGUUGUACCGCAUUUAAAGAUGUCCCGGCAUCGCAUUACACUUUUCCACCACUGAGAAUAUGGCACAAAGGCCCUGCCCUCAUGAAGAGGUUUGCGUCUAAUAUAAUAAAUCGAUUUGACUAACUUCUUCCAAGGUAGAUCUGGUUCGCUAAAGAAGCGCCACCACCAUUUAGUUAAAACCGCUGUAUUCAUAGUUGCCAAAUCCUUGAUUCCUAGGCCUCCUUCUUUUUUGCUUUUGCAGACUGCCCUCCAAUUUACGAGGCAUGCCCCUCCAGAUAUGUUUGUGCAUCCGCACCAAAAGAAAGCUCUCCUCAAGGCUUCAAUUCGGCGCAGAGCCCAUUGUGGAGCUUUAAAGACGGAGAGGAAGUGAAGUGGCAGAUUUGAAAGGACAGAGUUCACGAGGAUCAACCUCCCUCCUUGGGAGAGGAGCUUGGCCUUCCACCUUUCAAUUCUCUUAUAAUGCGGUUGAUAAUGAUCGACCAGUCCUCUUUUCGCAAAGAUCUAUUGCAAAGGGGUAGUCCCAGAUAGCGGAUAGGGAGGCUUCCAACUUGGCAGCCCAGGAUGUUAGCAAGCCUGGUAGCUCUAGAGGUGUUUGAGCCCAGGUAGUACAGUUCGGACUUGUCCAUAUUGAUUUGGAGUCCAGAGGCCCAUUCAUAAAAUUUCCAUAAGAAACGCAAAUUUCGCAGGAUAAAUUUCCUAGGCUCGCAGAAGAAGAUCGUGUCGUCGGCAAAUUGAAUCAGAAUAGUUUGACAGUCCGAAGUUGGGCCGAUUCCCCGAAGAAAGCUAUUCCUGCAGGCCAUGUCGGAAAGUCUGGAAAGACAAUCUGCAACAAUCAAGAAGAGAUAGGGGGAGAGAGGGUCGCCUUGCCGAAGACCCCUUCGUGUUUUCAGCCAGUUUGUAGGAGUGUCGUUCACAAGGAUGGCUAUUUUGGCGUUACAGACGCACUGUUCAAUCCAGGACCACCAUUUUUCACUAAACCCGAGCCAAAGCAUGAUUCCUUUCAGAAAGGGCCACCGAACGUUGUUGAAAGCCUUUUCAAAGUCUGCUUUGAGACUGACGCAUUCCUUCCUAGUUUUGGAGCACAAACUGAUUAGUUUGCAGGCGUUGACGAACGAGUCCGCAAGCAGUCGGUCUUUGAGGAAGGCCGAUUGGGAAGGAGAAAUAAUAGACGGUAGAACCAGGGCAAUCCUAUUCGCAAGAACUUUGGAAAUAAUUUUCUGGAUGCCGUUGAUGAGACUAAUUGGGCGAAAAUCCUUGGCCUGGCACGCGCUUUCUUUCUUGGGAAUGAGGCAGAUGAAGGAGUAGUCAAUCGGGGCUGUGGAAAGCGUGCCCCCUUGGAGAUCAAUGAAAAUCUUGUAAAUGUCGUCUUUAACGGUUUCCCAAAAAGUUUGGUAGAAGAUAAGUGGAAACCCAUUAGGUCCAGGAGCUUUAUCACUACCAAGUUGAAAAGUAGUAGCCUUAACUUCCUCCAUGUCGAAGGGGGCAGUUAGACACUCAGGUUGUAGUAGCGUGUUGGAUUGGAAGAGAGCGCUCCAAUCCCCGAAGGAGGAAGGUCCGUUCUCUGCCUGACCGAACAAUCGGUGGAAAUACUGAUAGAAAAAGUAUCUUUUGUGAUCCUCCGUGUUUAACAGUCUCCCAGUGUCAUCUUCUAUUACUUCAAUGGGGUUGGUGCGUUUCCUUCCGUUGGCCACAGCAUGGAAGUACUUGGUAUUAGCGUCCCCCUCCUUGAGCCAUAAUUGUUUGGACCUGGUUUUCCAGAGGACUUCCUCUUCUUCCAAAAUCUGUGUGAGGUUUGAUUUGAUACGUUCUCUCUUAUCGUGGAGAUCUAAGCUCAGAUCUUGGAGCUCUUCCAUCUGAUCAAUGGACUGAAGCUCAUCCAGAAGGGACUUCUUAGCUACGGUAAUAUUGUAAAAGUUCGAUUUGCACCAUUCCUUCAUACGAACUCUGCAGUGCCUCAGUUUAGCAGCAAUAGUGAGGAUCGCUGAUCCUUUAGGACUGACUUCGUUCCACCAUGUGGUACUUUGGAGAUAAAAUCCUCUUUCGUGAGCCAGACUUUCUCAAAACGAAAUCUACGCGUCGGAGGUGGGAGCCUAGAGUAGAGGAGGAUCGGAGUAUGAUCAGAGGUGAUUCUAGGGAAGGCUUUGGCCUUGCACAGUGGGUGAGAGAGGUCCCAUUCCGUGGAGACGAGGAACCUGUCUAGUUUUGCCAUGGUGGGUUGACGAUACAUGUUAGACCAAGUGAAGCUUUGAUUUGAAAGCGGAACAUCAAUGACCUUUAGGUUAUUGAUAAGAUCCGAGAACAUCUCCAUGGAUUUUCUACUCCAAGUACGUCCACUCCUUUCGGUUUGAUUUCUGGUGAAGUUAAAAUCCCCACAGAUGACCCAGCUGGUGCAGCAAAUAUCUUUGAGGGAAGCCAAUUCAGAACAGAAGGCGUCCUUACCCUCCCAGGUGGGGGGUCCGUAAACAUUAGUGAUGAAGAAGGUCGAGCCGCUCGCGUGAUGGGAGAGGCGUAUGGUAAGAGAGUACGAUCGAACAAUAACUUCUAGCCCAGCAAAGUAACUCGAGCACCAAUAGAUAAUAAGACCUCCUGAGGCCCCGACGACCGGCAAAAAGUGACAUUUAUCAAAACUAGAGCCACAACAUGAUCUAAGAAAAGACCGAGAUACAGAGUCGACUUUAGUUUCCUGGAGACAGACAACUGCACGGUAGUGCCUAGACACGAUAGAUUUAACUAGACAUCUUUUACGAGGAUCAUUGAGACCUCGAACGUUCCAACUAAGAAAGGAAGACAUCAAAAAGAGACGAUCCCCUUAGGAGCAACAUCAGAACAGUAAAAGGGAGAGAAACUAAGUUAAAUUAGACCCCGACGGACAGGAAGUUCUGAAGAUCCUUCGCUUCAGCAUCAGAUAUCGCUACUCCAAGCAGAAGACUCUUCUUCUUGAUUUUAGAGCGAGACAGAUUACGAGCGGAGCGGCCUGGUUCAGACGAGGAUCCUUCCAAUAGUUUAGCUUUCCUGUUCGUUGCUCGCUCGAGCACGUUGACAUCCGUCAGAUUCGAGAGUCUGGCGCUUACCUUAAGGGAGGUUAGGGCUCCGCCAGUCAGUUGGGAGGGGGAGGGCUCAGCAGAGUGGAGGGGGGGAGCAUGCUGGUAGGACAGAAGGAGCCCAAGGCCGGGCCACAGGAGGUAGGCAAGGUGGGAGGCAGCAAGUAGUCUCCGACCCCCGGGGAGGGAAGGCGCGUCAUGGGAGGGAGGGCGAGCCGGGGGGGCUUCGGGCUGGCAUGAGAGCUCAGGGGGUUCAAGCCCGGACUGAGGGAGCACCGAUCAGGGGAGCCCGAGGCCGGACUGUCCAGGGCGAGGCCCACGUUGGGUCCACAGAUGGGUUCCAGCAAGCGGAGGAGGCGGGCCGGGGGAAAAUCUGGCCGCGACCGGGGCCCCAGCCCAGGGGUACGGGCUGGCGAGAAGCCACAGUGCCAGCCGGGGGAGCCGCUCGACCUAGGCGGGGAGCACAGGCAGGCGCGGAGCUCGAUCGCGGGGAGCUGCGGACUGCCGCGGGAGGUGCUCGGCCAUGCGAGGAGGCUCGGCCGACAGUGAGGGAUCGCGUAGUCCAGGGUCAGAGGGAGCACUCAGGCAAGAUCAGGCCGAGCCGGCUCAUCCAAGGCCAGGCCUCAAGUUGGGCUCCACAGAUUGGUUCGAGCAGGCGUGGGAGCUCGGUAACCGGCGGGGGACUCGCGGCGGGGGAGCUUGGAACCUGGCGGGUAGGGCUCGGGCCGGCGGAGGAGGAGCUCGGCCGAGCGGGGAGCUUGGACCGGCGAGGGCUCGGGCCGUCGGAAGGUCCUAGAGUCCGAACAGAGGGAGCACAAGCAGAAAGGCAGAUGCGGCGGGGGACUUCGGACCGACGGGGGAGCACAGGCGCGGAUCGGUGAGAGCUCGGGCCGCGCUGGGUGGAUGCUCGAAACCGCUGGGGGAGCCGACACCGCAGGAGUGGCUCGUGGCGGCAAGUGUAAUAUACGAAAAAUUUCGGGUUGCGAUGCUAAUUUUAAUCUGGAAUAUUAAAGUGAAAUGUGAAUUGGAUGUGCAUCAUUCCAGAGUGUUUCUGGACGUGUGGGAAUGAUCUCUGGAGGUAAUUGGGUAUUCGGGCACAAAUCGGGCGCGAAAUGAACUUGAAAGGGAAUUUUCGGAUUAUGACGCUAACUUUAACCUACGCGAUCAAAGUGAGAUAUGAAUGUUAAUUAUAGUACCUCCGAAUUAUUUUGGAAGUGCGAGGAUAGUUAAUGACAAAUUCCGGAGAUGCUUGGAUGUUAAAAAAAUAAAAAAAAAGUCGGAUUUUGAUUACAUUGUUAAAUUUGGAACAAGUUGGUCGAAGUAAGGCCAAAAUAAAAUUAAUUUGCUUUCGAGCUUAAUUAGUAGCUUCGGCAUAGUGUUUAGUAUGAUUUGGAAGUGAUUAGAAAUAUUCGAGGCGAGGCAAGGUGGAAGAACGAAAUGGGUUGAUAAUGCUGCUGCUGCCAGAAAAUUCUGCAAGUGCAGAUUUUGCAUUGUGUACCUCAGUGAGGUACAGGUGUGUACCUCAGUGAGGUACAGGCCUUUAAAACCUGCAGCAGGGCUGAAAUGUACUUAUGUUGAAUUGAGGGGUUAAGUUGCAAUUUGUCAAGCUUAUCACCUAUUUCCAGCUGAGUGGCAUGUGUCCACGUAAUUGGACCCAACUCCUCUUCACUGGUUCUCAUCUUUAUCCCCUUCCUUAUCUCUUUACAAGCUUAGGGGAAUUGGUGGAGAGGGUGACAGCUUGGGUGUUUGAGGUUGUGACGAGUAGGGAAACCAGCAGAGGAGAAGUUAUAAUCAGAGGUAAGAGAUGGUUUCCAAUUAAUAAUCAAGUUAAAUGCACUAAGAGAGGUUCUCUAAGGUAAUUAAACUUGGUGUUAUGCUGUAGAUUAAUUGGAAGCUAUACAAGAGAAGGAAGUUGUUAAAGUGCUACCUUGGUAGAAAGGCUGCCAAGGAAGCUAAUGAAGCAGAAUUUAAGAUGUUGGAGCUGCCGAAUUGGAGCUGCCGCUGAGGAAGCUUUAGAACAAAAUUUUAAGUUGUUGGAAUUGAAAGUAACCAGAGGGAUUAUCAAAUUAAGGUAAAGUGUACUCGAUAAUUAAUUACAGUUCAUGUAAUUUCAUUAAAGAGGAGUUACAACAUUGAGGUUUGCUGCUGAAAUUGGCAGAUUUAGUGUGUAGGGCUUGUUGAAGCUGCCGAAGUGAGAAAUUCAACCUGGGAAGCUUUGAACCUGAGGUAAUUAAUGACUUCUCAGCGAGGGUCUAGUUUAAUUACUCCUUAAGAGAGAGUUCUAGAUAAAGUAAGCAUGUAAAGAAGCUUAAAGGAGCCUUUAAUUGGUUCAAGUGAAUAUAUGUAUGCAGGAAAUUUUCGAAUUGAGGGAAGCAAUGGUGCAGAAUUCCAGCAUGGUGCAGAUUUUGAGGUUGAGCUGAAAUUGUUGCCUUAUUAGAGCUUCUUUGGUGUCCAAACUAAAAGAGGACCAAGUGGAACUUCAAGCUCAGGUGAGAUUAAUGUAAGUUCCUGGGCUAAUGGGUGUUAAUUGUACUCUAUGCUGUAAUGACUACAAAGAGAGUAGUCAUGAGGCAGAUUUCAGCAUUGAAUUCUGUUUACUAUUGAAGCUGAUUUCUAAGUAAUUGAAGCUAAAAAAAAUGAAACUCUAGGAUGCUGGGAGCAACUUAGAAAGCUUCUAAUUCAGGUAAGAAUAGAAAUUAUCCCUGAUUUGAGUAGUGGAAUGUUAUAAAGAUAAUUUCUAAGUGAGUUGUGAAGCACAAUUUUUGAAAUUCAGCCUGAACUGAAUUUCAGCAUGAGAGGUAUUUGUUAUUGAGCUGAGAACUAUGUAAUUGGACAGCAAAUUAAGUCACUUAUAAUUAUGUUAUGAUUAGGAGUUAGAUUAGUUACUCUAGAAGAGUUCUAAGCAUAAGAACUAAUUGUUCUAUGCUUAUAAUAAAUGCUCGAAGAGGAGGUGAAAUGCUGAAAAUUCAGCAUGAAGCAAGAUUUCAGCAUAAUGCUGAAAAUUAACAUUGAGCUGAAACUUUAAGUAUUAUGGCUUCUAUGAGAUUUGCUUUAGUAAAUACUUAUGAGUAGUUGUUAAAAGGUGAAAUUGAACUAAGACCAUGAUAACUUUAUCUUAAAGUUGAUAAGAAGUUUGAGAGUGAGAUUAUACUGAUGUACAUGUGGAAAGUAUAUCUAUAUGUAUAUAAGUGCUUAGAAGUUGAAAUGCAAGUUUUGUUGAAAAUGAAUAUGACGUCGGUUUAAUCUCUCCUAUACUUAUUUGAAUGAAAGUUAAACUUGCUCGAAAGUCAAAAUUGAUAUUCCGACAGGUCGGCGACGCAUUAAUUACGGUAGAAGCCAAUUCGUCUCUAAUUGCAUCGAGUCGCGUGAUAUUGUUCUUGAUACACUUCAAGACGUGAGCUCUUAGUUGUUGACACCACUACAGGUGGGUGGUGCUAUCCGAAGUCUUUGAAUCACCUUUUAUGUCUAUGAUAAUUCAUUGAGCAUAUUUAUAUUUGUUGUCAUGCAUUAUAGGGUAUUGGCAUUGUGCAAGUGAAAGUAUGUAUUCCUAUCAAUAGUGAGAACAUGUGAACAUUAGAAUGUGAAUAUAGAACCCUAUGAAUGUAUGGACUAUAGCAAUAGUAAACUUGGUGACAUUCAACUAGAGAUUUGGUUAGCAUCGAGAAAUGGAAUUGUGAAACUAGCAUAAAGAACUAGUUAGAGUAAAGUGUAACAGUGUUUGUCAGUUGAAUCCUCUAAAAGGGGAUCAGAUCAUACUCACAUUUGUUUAGUUCAAGUGAGGUCGCUCCUCCUUGAACGAUGAGCUCCGGAGUAGUCAUCUUUACUGGACCAGGAGGUGCGUCUCCCCCAGUUGACGGUCCCAUCGGGUGCAGGUGCGUCUCCCCGAUAUUUGGGAUAGCGUCAGUGAGUAAUUGUUAACCAGAGGGUUAACCAAAAUGAAUUGGAUAAACUCAGUAAAAGCAUGCAUGCAUAUUUACAGUUUUUCUAUAUUGCUUUCUUUCAGCUUUGUACAGGUAUUGUAGUAGUUACAUAUUAUAGUUGGUUACUAUCUCAGUUUACUUUUCUUGCCUACAUAUGCCUGGAUAGACCUAGUGGGUGAGUCGGCGAGGUCGGCGGCCGAACCCACUGGGAACUUUUAGUAGUUCUCACACUACUAACCAUACAGGUUCCAGCGCGACGUUGUGGCUGAGGAUCGCGACAAGAGCCCAGCAGCCUAGCUAGUGGGCACCCGAGUUCUAGUGGUAUACCAUUUUGGUUUCAUAUUGUACAUAAUGAUGAACAAAGAGAUGUGUAAAUGAAAAUUUAAGUGAUGUAAAUAACUAAAUGUUCAGUUAUUUAGUUAUAUAUAGUUUAGUGUUAAAAGUUUUAAAUUACAGUGAAUUUUCAGUAUAGUUAGCCUACUAUCACUUGUGCUUGUUGCUUGCCCUCGUGCAAGCCAUGUAUAUUGAAAUGUUAUCCUGGGAAUUGUUUAUUUCUUUAUUCAUGUACUCGUUGUUGUUGAGCCUUGGGCGGAUAGAGGAGGUUCUGUCCGUUUGGCGUCUGUGUACGGGCUCGGAUCGACCAAAUUGGCGAUAGCGGGACGUGACAGGCAGGAAGGUCCGAGCUCGGACCGGCGGGAGGGCUUGGGCUGGCAGGAGGGCUCGGGCCGGCAGGAAGGUCCGAGUCCGAGCAAAGGGAGCACCAGGCAGAGAAAGCCGAGGCUGGGCUCUCCAAGGCUAGGCCCAAGUUGGGCCCACAGGUGGAGUCCAGCAAUUGGCUUCCCGGGCUCUCCAAGGCCAGGCCCAAGUUGGGCCCACCGGUGGAGUCCAGCAAUUGACUUCCCAAGGAGAAGAGGUGGGCCCGUCCGAUCGCUGGCUUUCCAAAAUCCGAGGUCCAAUUGAAUGACCCAGGGCCCAGUGCAGGGUAGACAAGUGGGCCAGAUAAAAGCGCAGCGAAGAGGAGGGUCCGCGUCAGUCCUGUCGGACAGAGGCCCAAAUAAAGUAGUUUGAAAUUUGAAACAGAGCAGCACAGUACUGGACCAAAGGGGGAGAGGCUCCAAGCAGAAUUAAUGCGCAGGGACUUUUCCCGAUAAACGAGGCUUCCACAAAAGCUGAUCCCGGCUUGACCAGAAGGGCUCGUCUUCCAACAACAGGCAAAAGGUGAGCGAGGCUGAGUAGGGUGAGACAAAAAGGAAGCAUGAUCAGCAGGCAGGCCAGUACUUUCUCUAACAGGCAGAUCAACUUGCACGAAGGAGGAAAGAUUUGGAGAAAGGCAAAUCUGGCCGUUGGGGUACGGGAUGCGGUCAGCCGAGGCGUCACCGAUCGGCGAUUCAGCCGAGGCAUCACUGACCGGAGAGUCCUCGGCCGCGGGCGCCUGCCCUGACCCCGUGGAGACUAGAGAGGCUUCGGCCACUGGCGCCGACCCCCACCCCAGGGAGACCGAAGAAGCCUCGGUCACCGGCACAAACCCUAGGGAGACCGAAGAAGCCUCAGUCACCGACACCGACCUCGAUCCCAGGGGGGCGAUGAGGCCCAGUGAAGGUGGUCGGCAGCGCCUCCUAUCUCGGAUUUCGGAGGAGUCAGAGGAGCCGUCCGAGUUAGGGUCGUCGUCGUCCAGGGGCCUCCGCGCUCGUACUUCACCAAAGUACCGACGCUCCACCUCUAAGGAUCUCACGUCAGGAUCGACAUGGUCCGUUCGCUCGUUGGGCGGGGGGGAGGAUCACCACGGCCAUUGUCGCUGUCUCGAGCCCAACGCUCAAGUUGGAUUAGGACCGACAUAGAGACGUCCCCGAAGGCGACCUCCAGAUUCUCGGGUAUGUCAUGGAGGUGGUUGACGGCUACGAGGCAGCGGUAGCCGGAGAGAUCUACCAUGCGAGUCGUGUGCUCGUCCGCCCUGAUGAAUCGGGCGAAGCCGCCGACAAGAGCCGCAACGGUACGGGAAGACCAACAUUUAUAGGGGAGAGAUACCAGUCUGAUCCAAGCUUUGUAAGGAGGAGAAAACGGCGGGCGCCACUAUAGGGAUUCCAGGCAUAGCAUCGUAAUCUAAUAUCCCCCAGGCUGAGGUUAAGCCUACGGACAAGGGAGUCGCUUGGAACCCAUUCUGGAAGAAACACCACGAACUCUCGUUCCCUGUAGCGAGCCACCAGAAAGUCCAUGGGGAAGCCUCCGAAACGGUUGGCUAGACCGUUGGCAAUAGUGUCUUGAGCAAAGUGGCCAAGAUUCGCAGGGAGGAUGACAUCCACAAGGAGUGCAUUGCGGCGCUUGUUCUGCCGAGCAAAGAAGUCUUCUGUCUCCGAAACAAAGACGUUCAGGUAAGCUGGGCGAGCGCGCAUGUAGCGGUAGACGUCCAUCGGGAGGCGAUCCAUGCAGCUCCGCGCCUUGUGACCCGUUUUGAGGCACAGGGCGCACCGCAAAGGCUCUCGGCAAGCGGCUGCUCUGUGGUUCCGUCCCACGCACCGGAAACACCGGUCCUUGAAAGAGUGAGAAUCAAACUUGGGGGGAGUGUUGCGAAAAGUGUUACGAAGAGGUGGUGGAGGGUGGCGCGAAGGGAGUGAAGCACGGGAGCGAUGCGCCGGAGCGAAGCGCAGAGGUGGCGGCGGAGGGUUGCGCGAGGGAGCGUUGCGCAGAGGUGAUGGAGAGUUGCGUGAAGAGGAGGGUGGGGCAGCGGAGAGGAGGGCCUCUUUGUAGGACGGGUUGCCAGGAGAAGUGAGGCGUCCGUUCCUUUUAUAAUGCACUUCGGUCCAAGGCUGAUCCGCAGGCACUCCUUUGCCGUCGGUGUCCUUUACAGCUGGAGCAGGAGCACUAGGGGCAGGAGCGCUAGGGGAGUCAUCCUUGCUGAAGAAGGUAACCUGAGCCAGGUCCAGUCCAGCUGAGUCCGCCCAGAUCACCUUCUUCGCUAAGGAACGAUCAUUAAUGCUGGAGCUUGAGGGGUGGGUGGUUGCCAUAACUCCAUUGCCCAGAUGAUGUUUAAGCUCCUGAAACCUCCGCUCCAAGUCAUUACUCAGUCCAGAUGAAAUGACAUUCACUGCUCCAGAUCGCUCGAUCGACCGAUGCCGAGGAUCCCCCAGCUGACUGGGACAGGGGGCCGCCGUCUUCCCGAUCACCGUCGUGCUUGUUGUCUUGGCCGUCGUGCCUGUUGUCUUGGCCGCCGUCUUCCCUGUCGCCGUGGUCGCCGUCUUCCUAGUCGUCUUGAUCGGCGUACAGGCGACCGCCUUCCCCUUCUCUCUCUCUCUCUCUCUCUCUGUAUUAGCUAAAAAAAUAUUAAACACAUGCAUGUAUUAUAAUGUAGUUAAAACUUAUAUGCAACAAGUCCAAAAUAGUAUAAUGAAAAGAUAAGUAUCAUUUUUUUUUUUUUUUUUGCUUUAACUUUUGAUGGUCAAGUAUUUUACUGGAUUCAAAUUCGGGUCAAGAUCUAGAUAUGAAAACUAGUCCGAACUUUACCCACCAAAAGAAUGGGUCCGGAUUGGAUCGAAAUUGGAUAGGGUAUAAGAUAUUCGGACCAAUAACCAAAACUUAAACGGAUACUUUUUUUACCCCACAUACUACCCACUUUUAACCAGUCCGAAUCGGAUCCGGAUAGGAUCUGGAUCGGCUCGAGAAUAUUGGAAAUUUUGGGCAUCUCUAAAGCUUAUAGACUAAAGUAAGCCAGUAAAAAUUUGCACCAAAAUGUCACCAUAAAAUACUCCCCCACUUCACUUUGUUGACUAGGGUGCUUAAUUAAUUUUCCAAGAUGACUUGACUCCAUCAGUGUGGAAAAGCUCGGAGCAAAUUUAAUAAAGAGACAAUUAUCUGUAUAUCCCUGCAAAAUUCUCACCAUGCAGUCCUUAAAAACAUCUGUUUCUUAAUUACAUCUUUUUAAAAUCUCUUUUUUUUUUUUAUAAAAUAAUUCAAAUUUGUGGAUCGGAUUGGGUCUGGUUAAUUAAUAUACUAAACCCGUACCCGAAAAAAAAAAUAUAAAAAAAAUAUACCCAUUCUUUUCAACUUUAGAGCGGGUCCGAAUCUAAAUACUUAAGUUCCUACUGCACUCAUUAAAUUUAUUUGACUGGAUUUAGAUAGUUACUAUCCUGUAUACAAUCCACUUCAAGAUCCGAUAAGGGCUGGAGCUAGAUCAAAUACAGAUAUCUGUAUGUGUGUCUAUGUCAUCAAGAACAACUAUACGUUACAUGAUAAGUGCAAAACAAAAAUUAAAAAUUAAAAAUAGUUACACAUAUAUUAAUUACCCUAAAACACAUACAAUUAACCACCACCUCAAAUUGAUACAACAACAUAAUAAUUAAAAAUGUAAUGAUAAACCCAAAGACAUAUAACAUAAUUAUGUAAAACACAUACAGCUUGUCAUAUAGCACACACUGUAAGUCCAAAGCACAUGCACUUUUUGUAAUGUAAUUAAAACUCAUAUGUAGUAAGUCUGAAACUGUCUAAUGAAAAGAUAAGUAUCAAUUUUUAAAAUUUUCAUAAGUUUUUCAAUUUCUUUUCCUUGCUUUAACUUUUGAUGUUUGGGUAUUUUAUAGGAGGCCCAGGUCUAGAUCAGGAUAAUGAUACGAAAACUAUAUUGGACCCCACCCACCAAAGGAAUGGAUCCGGAUUGGAUUCAAGUCGAGUAGAGUAUGAUAUAUUCAGACCAAUAACCAAAACUUAAAAGAGUAAUUUUUUAUCUUUAUAUUAUCUAUUUUUAAUCAGGUUCAAAUCAGACCUGAAAAAAAGUCAGGAUCGGAUUUAAAAUAUUGGGUAUUUUGGACACCUCUCCGUAACAUAUAUAAUUACUAAAUACUUAUAGGUCAAUACAAAGCUGUACCAAAAUGUCACCAUAAAAUACUCCCCACUUUGUUGACGUGGGUGUUUAAUUUCCAAGAUGACUUGUGAGUUCAAUAUGGAAAAAAGUGGAGAACUAAUUUAAUAAGGAGGCAAUUAUCUAUGUAUCCCUAUAAAAUUCUCGUCUUUUAUAUGUAGCCUCGACAAACAUCUGUUCUUAAAUUUAUCUUUCCAAAGUCUCAUAUUUGUUUGAAAAACUCAAAUUCGUGGAUUGGGUCGGAUCUCGAUAGUUAAUAUAUUGUAUUCAUGUCACGCCCCGAAUUACUCGUUUCUCCGGACUCGCUAACAGACCCGCCGUAUAUAUAGAUAUUUUUCUUGUAUACGAAGCGAAAAAGUAGAAGUACCUGUAAUCAUUCAAUACCACAAACAGUAAUAUAGAGCAGCUAGGAAAAUAAACCAAAUAUAUAAACUAUGGUUCAAUACAUACAUGUCAUCCAGGUAUAGAAACACUCGCUCUGGCGAGAUACAACAACUGUAUGUAAAGACCCAAAAACUACAACUACCUGUAGCUGGUACUCCUCUAGCUCUGCGACUCGUCUGGAAGGGCUCUAACUCGCAACGCCCUUGCCACGAUCAGUUUCGAUAGAAGCAGCAGCCGGGACAGAAGGCUCUGCAAAAAUAGGGUAACAAUUGGGCGUGAGAACUACUACAAACAGAAGUAGUUCUCAGUGGGUACCGCCCUCGAACUCAUCGCUCCACCCACUAAGUCUACAGGAGUAAGCAGGAAUAGUAAAGAAAGCUGGAAUAAAUUUACAGCUAAAUGGCACUACACUAUCAUGCUCCAACUCUACCCUCUGUAGAACAAUGUCAUCUCAGACCCAAUCUCAAUAAGGACUGUAAUCAUAUCUGUCCUUCGGACUGUGAACACAUCUAUCCCGCCCGGUUGCGACUAUCCAGCUACCUCCACACUAAUCAGUCCGUGGAGAGCAAGUCCAACCUGCACGAACGACACCAACGCAAAAGCACAAAGCCUGACUCCGGAGUGGCACUCAUGGGCGCUACCCAAUCGAGUAUGCAAGCAUAUCUCUGUCGAGCUCAAUCAGGCUCUCACAAGCUAACGUCAAGUAGACAGGGUCAAACAGGUCUAGAAACCAAACCCACGUGCCCUCGGAACAAUCUGAGACCAAAAACAGGAAUUUGGGUCCACCGUCCACCCCGACGGCACCCGACAACCCGAAACAGCCUAGAUUCUACUGUAAAAAUAAGCUCGGCAUCCCAGCACGAGCGUAAAUGUAUUCUAAACUACCCCGGGUAUCCACCGCGCUGAAACAGCAGUGAUACAAUCAAACCACGGCUCCUAGAGCUAAAUCAGGUAGUAGAAUCAUAUGACAAGUCGAAUCGCUGGUUUUCUCCUAAGUCAAGUUCCAAGUCCAACAUGUAUAUUCAACUAAUUACUAUUCAUGCUCCAAAUUCAGAUUUCAUACAUUAUACCAAUCGAUGAAUUUGAGCUACAACAUGAUAUUCCGAAUUCGAAACUAUACAUGUUUACUAUACAUAUACUUAGGAGCAAAAUCGAUGAUAAACCCACCUCUAGUGCAAUUUUCUGGCAGCAAAGAAGGGUUCCGAACCAAAGCUAAUCCCUGUUGGAUCAACCGAAAUCCUCUAAGACCAGAAAUCAAGUUAUCUCUAAACUCUACACACUGAAUUCCAUUAAUUAUCACUAUUUCAGCACUAAAGCUUAAUUUAAUCUCAAUUGUAAUGUCAAAACUCACCUAAUUACCUUCAAAUCAGGUGAGGAAGGUCUCAAAUCUAGUGAAUAAUAAUGGAGAAUGUGUCUCAGGUCCAAAAUCCCACUGCCUACAAAAAUAGUAUCAAGAAAAGCUCAAAAAUCUCAUUUUCAGUUCAAUGUUGCAAGCAGUCCAGAAAUACAUGUAAACGACUAAGCUAACCUCAACCAAAACCCACAAUUUAGGAUUUCGUGGAUUUCUCUAGAAGUCUAGAAUCCAGCAAACCAAGUUUCACCGCAAUCCGACCUUCCUACGUCGCACACGAGCCAAAACACCGAAGGUCGUUGCUGGAAAACUGCAGAAUCAGCACUCCACCACCUUCCAAUUGAAAGAUUGGAGCAAAUUGAGGAAAUCAGAGGGUUAGAAAUGCAAUUUGAGACUUCUCUGUGAAGAACAGGUGAAAAGAACUCACUGGAGUCAAACACCACCUAUUUAUAGGGUGUUAGAAUGGUCCCAUAAGCCUCAGGAACAACAGUUGCAAACCUGCAACUCAGCAGAAACGGGCACUUCCGGGCGCCCGGACCCACAUUAUGGGCGCCCGAAUCCUCCAGGCUACACAAGGCUUCCUCCUCGGAGUCUCCGCCCGCGGUGUGCUACGCCUAUAUCCGGCUCCGGCGGACCUCGCCUACUACCAGUCACGUGUCAGCGCAAACGAUACUCACGAUGUGAACUUUCGGACCCACAUCCGGGCGCCCAAAACAUGGACCCGAAUUGGCUUCCAGUUCUGCUCAGUUCUGCACUCAAUUUCUGAGCGACCCAAAGCCAGUUCUGAGCGCCCGAAUCCGGCAAAACUCCAGUUUUGCUUAUUUGAAUGCGCCGAAUCCAUUUUUGCAUCCAUUUCGCAUAGAAAUAACUCCGACUCAGUCCGACACUCUUCAGAUGUGUCGACCAGUCACUAACACUGAAGCCAAUCCUAUCCAAAUCUCAGAAAUACUACAAUUUGUAUCCUAAAAAAAUAUAUAUAAUAUAUAUAUCUAUACUAUAUACAAAAUCAUAUAUUUUGAAUUUUAGUAUGAGGCUCAUUUUUUAGUAAGAAAAGGAUUUUGGUUCACUUUUCUUUUCUUAUGCAAAUAAAUAACAUAAUCAAACAAAAUUUUUUAUUUCUUCUUUUUUCCUCUAUCGGAUAUUUUUUUCCUAUUUUUAUUUAAAUAUGCCGGUCUCAUUUCAUUCCUUUUCUUCUUAAGUGAAUAUUUUCAGAUUAUUUUAAUAUUAUCUAGAAAUAUUUAGUUGUUAUGUUAACUUUUUAUUGAUUCCAACUAACAAUCAAAUUUGAAAUUAAUUUUAAAUAUAUAUUUAAAUUUUAAUCAUAUAUAAUUUAAAUUUAAAUUUAUAAAAUUUUAAAAAUAAAAUUAAAAUUUAAGUUUAAAUUGUGAAUUAGAUUUUAUUUUGAAAAUCAAAUUUGAAUUAACAAUUAAAAAUUUUAAUUAAAUUGGAUCAAAAUUUAAAUUUAAAUUUUGAGUAAAAUGUGAGUUAAAAAUUUGAUAUUUUUAGUUUAAAA
rnacentral:lncRNA from 1 species